rnacentral:rRNA from 1 species
GAUGAACGCUGGCGGCGUGCCUAAUACAUGCAAGUCGAGCGAACAGACGAGGAGCUUGCUCCCCUGACGUUAGCGGCGGACGGGUGAGUAACACGUGGAUAACCUACCUAUAAGACUGGGAUAACUUCGGGAAACCGGAGCUAAUACCGGAUAAUAUAUUGAACCGCAUGGUUCAAUAGUGAAAGACGGUUUUGCUGUCACUUAUAGAUGGAUCCGCGCCGCAUUAGCUAGUUGGUAAGGUAACGGCUUACCAAGGCAACGAUGCGUAGCCGACCUGAGAGCGUGAUCGGCCACACUGGAACUGAGACACGGUCCAGACUCCUACGGGAGGCAGCAGUAGGGAAUCUUCCGCAAUGGGCGAAAGCUUGACGGAGCAACGCCGCGUGAGUGAUGAAGGUCUUCGGAUCGUAAAACUCUGUUAUUAGGGAAGAACAAAUGUGUAAGUAACUAUGCACGUCUUGACGGUACCUAAUCAGAAAGCCACGGCUAACUACGUG